AACGAACGCUGGCGGCAUGCCUAACACAUGCAAGUCGAACGAGAUCUUCGGGUCUAGUGGCGCACGGGUGCGUAACGCGUGGGAAUCUGCCCUUUGGUUCGGAAUAACAGUUGGAAACGACUGCUAAUACCGGAUGAUGACGAAAGUCCAAAGAUUUAUCGCCAGAGGAUGAGCCCGCGUAGGAUUAGCUAGUUGGUGUGGUAAAGGCGCACCAAGGCGACGAUCCUUAGCUGGUCUGAGAGGAUGAUCAGCCACACUGGGACUGAGACACGGCCCAGACUCCUACGGGAGGCAGCAGUGGGGAAUAUUGGACAAUGGGCGAAAGCCUGAUCCAGCAAUGCCGCGUGAGUGAUGAAGGCCUUAGGGUUGUAAAGCUCUUUUACCCGGGAUGAUAAUGACAGUACCGGGAGAAUAAGCUCCGGCUAACUCCGUGCCAGCAGCCGCCGCCG
rnacentral:rRNA from 1 species